rnacentral:tRNA from 1 species
UUAUACAUAGCUUACUAAAGCAAUUUAUUGAAAAUAAAAAGAAUCCUUCACCAUGAAAAGA